AUUGAACGCUGGCGGCAGGCCUAACACAUGCAAGUCGAGCGGAGCGGCGGACGGGUGAGUAAUGCCUAGGAAUCUGCCUGGUAGUGGGGGAUACCGUCGGGAAACGGGGGCUAAUACGGCAUACUAUCAGAUGAGCCUAGUUCGGAUUAGCUAGUUGGGGUGGUAAAGGCCUCCAAAGGCGACGAGCCGUAACUGGUCUGAGAGGAUGAUCAGUAACACUGGAACUGAGACACGGUCCAGACUCCUACGGGAGGCAGCAGGGGGGAAUAUUGGACAAUGGGCGAAAGCCUGAUCCAGCCAUGCCGCGUGUGUGAAGAAGGUCUUCGGAUUGUAAAGCACGUUAAGUUGGGAGGCGUUACCAACAGAAUAAGCACCGGCUAACUUCGUGCCAGCAGCCGCGGUAAGAC
rnacentral:rRNA from 1 species